rnacentral:tRNA from 1 species
CCAUUUAUGGCUAAAGCGCCCAACUAAAGAUUGGGAAAUUCGUAGGUUCAAUUCCUGCUGGAUGCA